UACGUAGGGUGCGAGCGUUAAUCGGAAUUACUGGGCGUAAAGGGUGCGCAGGCGGUUCUGCAAGUCAGGCGUGAAAGCCCCGGGCUUAACCUGGGAAUGGCGCUUGAAACUACAGGACUGGAGUAUGGCAGAGGGAGGUGGAAUUCCACGUGUAGCGGUGAAAUGCGUAGAGAUGUGGAGGAACACCGAUGGCGAAGGCAGCCUCCUGGGCCAAUACCGACGCUCAUGCACGAAAGCGUGGGGAGCAAACAGG
rnacentral:rRNA from 1 species